AUCAAAAAGGAAGCAUCUGGCUCCACCACCAACACCCAAAGCUGGAAUUCUAACUUAAACUACUUUCUG
rnacentral:tRNA from 1 species